AUUGAACGCUGGCAGAAUGCUUUACACAUGCAAGUCGAACGGCAGCACGGACUUCGGUCUGGUGGCGAGUGGCGAACGGGUGAGUAAUGUAUCGGAACGUGCCCAGUCGUGGGGGAUAACGUAGUGAAAAUUACGCUAAUACCGCAUACGAUCUAUGGAUGAAAGCGGGGGAUCGCAAGACCUAGCGCGAUUGGAGCGGCCGAUAUCAGAUUAGGUAGUUGGGGGGGGAAAGGCCGACCAAGCCAACGAUCUGUAGCCGGUCUUAGAGGACGACCAACCACACUGGAACUGGGACACGGUCCAGACUCCUACGGGAGGCAGCAGUGGGGAAUUUUGGACAAUGGGCGAAAGCCUGAUCCAGCCAUUCCGCGUGCAGGAUGAAGGCCCUCGGGUUGUAAACUGCUUUUGUACAGAACGAAAGGGUUUCUACUAAUACUAGGAGCUCAUGACGGUACUGUAAGAAUAAGCACCGGCUAACUACGUGCCAGCCGCCGCCGUAA
rnacentral:rRNA from 1 species